rnacentral:lncRNA from 1 species
CGUUACCGGGGCGGACCGAAAAACCGGCAAAACGACCCCCUCCCCCCGAACCGCCACCCCUUCGGACGGGUUUCUGCGAUCGUCUCCCGAAAAAAAAAAAGACGAAACGCGCAGGCUAUCGUCUUGUCGUCGCUCUACAAUCCCUUUUCAGCACAUCUGUCUUUUUUUUCACAGUCCCCCAAAAGCACAAAUGAGCGCGGCAGGAGCAUCUUCAAACCCCCGGCGCGGCCAACCGCCGAUCCGGUGAGCAGCGGCACAUGCAACCGUGACAACCGCCUCUCUGCGCUCCGCGUUAGUCCGCCUCGACGUGGGACAGAAAUCGCUGGUAAUAGCGGCGGGGGUGGUGUGUGGGUCUCGGCGGCUAGCGCUCAGGCUAACCGCGAUCACAUCGCCCAGCAGCGGCAGUGUAGUGGCGCGUCGCUCGCGGAGGUCUGCAGCAGCAGCAGCAGCAGCAGCGAGGGGUGGUGGGGUGAGAAGAAGAGUGAUUAAAUUAAAAAAGGAAAAAGAAAGAUGAUUAAAUUAAAAAAAGGAAAAAGAAAGAAAAACGGAUGAACUAAACCGGGGUUUCUUCGUCGCACCGCUACAAUUAGCGAUGUGCAUUCGCCAGGGACCCCCCCCUCACUGCCGUUAAUCUCGGAUCGGCUCCGAGGCUGCUCGUCGCUUGGAGAGGGUCUGCACGGUGAAGCGCGUCCCCGCUACAAAGCGCGCUCGCCUCGGUGUGUGUGCAGUGUUCACAAAAUGGCCGCCUAAACAAACCCUACAACGGGCUGCGCCCAGCGGCUGUUAGCGCGAUUUGCCUCGGCAUUUGCCUGUGCAGGGGAGGAAAACGACACUUUUACGGGAACGAUUAUUUAGAAAACGCGCGCUGGGGUGCCCCUUUGGCCCGUUUCAAGCUAUUAGAAAGUGAUAAGUUGCUUGUAGCCCAGGCAAACGAACAGUGCCGAGUCUGAGGAGAUCUGACAGAGCUAAUCUGAGACCAUAAACGGCUGUGACUAAGAACAAUUUUUAUCUUAAUUUAGCUCAACGUUUAUAUUUCAGCACAACCGAUGUAUACCGAACGAGUAACGUUAUAUGACUUGUCACAACCGACAAGACAACGAUGCGAUGGAGUACUUGGGGUUUUUCCCAAAUGUUGUUUUCGUAUGUUAUUACGCUCAAAACCAGUUUAAGACCGUUUGCUGGUCUCAGUGGGUUUUAGAGAUGUUUGGGGCUUUUUCAAAUGGGCAGACCAGCUUUGUAAGAGAAGACCAGUUGACUGUAUAAACACCAACAAACCAGUUUAAGAUAUUUUUUUCUGCUGAAAAGUGCACAUGAGUCUCAUUAACGUGGAUAUAUAUAUUUUUUAAUACUUUGAAUGAUACAAAUAUCUCAGUAUUUUGGGCUUUACAUUGCACAACUUUCUUCAUAGUUCGCUUACAGGCUUCUCGGGAUCAUAACUGAUAAAACAAACGUACUAAAGCAUAUUACACCACCGCAAAUAUAUUUAUAAUUUAUUUCUUUCCUUACACUUAAUUCGAUUUGGUUAGUUAUUUUAAAGUGUCAAGCCACUAAUGACACUACAGUUGAUAAAUCACGAAAGUAUAACACACACACACACUAUAUAUGUACUUCUUCAAGAAAGUUUUAUCCAGAGGGGGUCGUGCAGUGGAUGUGAAACUGAUUAAGUUUUCCGAGGUCUUUAUAUUCAGCCUCUCUCUUCAUCUUUACAUGAAUCCCUCAUUCAUUGUUCCAAGCCGAGGGCACCAUUAAAACAGUCUGGACAUGUCAUGUGCCAAUGGGAUAAAAAGACAAGGUCACAAAUGUGACCAACUCCCCCCACGCAAGACAUUCACACCGAACAUAUUUAUAGGUGUCUUUGUUCCUAACCUUUUAGGCGCAUUGUAGGCUUUAACAUUCACACGUCUGUAAGGUUUUUACGAGGACGUCAUGACCCUCUCUGUUCUUCAUGUGUGAGACCUACCGUGGUUUAAGACAAAACGCACAAGUAUAUUUUCAAAUUGAAUAUAAAUGAAUUAACCCGCCAGGUCGAGCUAGGUUACUAAAAACAUUUAAACAUGCAGGAAGUUCGUCAACAUCAAAUUCAAGGUGAAAGUUCACACCUUUACCUCUGGCAGAGAUCGACGCCAUCUAGUGGUGCACAGAAACACUACAGUGAGUUCAACAGCGUUGAAAACCACUGAUCUACAUAUGAUCUGAUCUAUAUUAUAGCUCAGUGGUUGAAACCCAAAACAAUCUUUUCAGGUCAAGUAUACUGUACUGUUAAAACGGUCAGUAAAUGUUAUUUUUUUUAAGAAGUAAAUACUUAUAUUAAGUAAGGAUGCGUUCAAUUGAACAAAAGUGGCAUUUAAAUCCAUUUAUAAUUUUCCUUUUAACAUUCAUUUAAGAAAUCCAAAAAAGAGAGAUUGCCAUUUCAAACACAAAAAUAUUAAGCAGAAAACCUGUUUUCAUCACUUAUAAUAAUAAGAAACGUUUCUUGAGUGCCAAAUCACUAUAUUAGAAUGAUUUCCGAGGAUCAUAUGACACUGAACUGUAGAACACACUACACUAUUUACAUAAUAUAUUUACACACACAUACUUAGUGUACCUUAAAUUUUUUUGCACAUAAUAUACCUGUACAUACAUAACUGCUCAUUGUAAUAUACCUGCCAUACAAUUGUCAAUUUGUAUAUUGUCAUUCCUUACCUACUUAUUUGUAUUUUUUAUUCUUUUAUUAUGUGUUUUUUGUUCUGUC